rnacentral:rRNA from 1 species
GUUAUAGGGUCAAGCGAACAAGUGCAUGUGGUGGAUGCCUUGGCGAUCACAGGCGAUGAAGGACGCGGUAGCCUGCGAAAAGCUACGGGGAGCUGGCAAACAAGCUUUGAUCCGUAGAUGUCCGAAUGGGGAAACCCGG